UACGUAGGUGGCAAGCGAUACUCGGAAUCACUAGGCGUAAAGCGCAGGUAGGCGGUUUGAUAAGUCUGUUGUGAAAGCUCCCGGCUUAACUGGGAGAGGUCAACGGAAACUGUCAGGCUAGAGUGUGGUAGAGGUAGCUGAAAUUCCCGGUGUAGCGGUGAAAUGCGUAGAUAUCGGGAGGAAUACCUAUGGCGAAAGCAGGCUACUGGACCAUCACUGACGCUGAUCUGCGAAAGCUAGGGGAGCAAACAGG
rnacentral:rRNA from 1 species